rnacentral:rRNA from 1 species
CCUACGGGAUGCACCAGUGGGGAAUAUUGCACAAUGGGCGCAAGCCUGAUGCAGCCAUGCCGCGUGUGUGAAGAAGGCCUUCGGGUUGUAAAGCACUUUCAGCGGGGAGGAAGGCGGUGAGGUUAAUGACCUCAUCGAUUGACGUUACCCGCAGAAGAAGCACCGGCUAACUCCGUGCCAGCAGCCGCGGUAAUACGGAGGGUGCAAGCGUUAAUCGGAAUUACUGGGCGUAAAGCGCACGCAGGCGGUCUGUCAAGUCGGAUGUGAAAUCCCCGGGCUCAACCUGGGAACUGCAUUCGAAACUGGCAGGCUAGAGUCUUGUAGAGGGGGGUAGAAUUCCAGGUGUAGCGGUGAAAUGCGUAGAGAUCUGGAGGAAUACCGGUGGCGAAGGCGGCCCCCUGGACAAAGACUGACGCUCAGGUGCGAAAGCGUGGGGAGCAAACAGGAUUAGAUACCCCAGUAGUC